rnacentral:rRNA from 1 species
UACGGGAGGCAGCAGUGGGGAAUAUUGCACAAUGGGCGCAAGCCUGAUGCAGCCAUGCCGCGUGUAUGAAGAAGGCCUUCGGGUUGUAAAGUACUUUCAGUCGUGAGGAAGGUGUUAAGGUUAAUAACCUUAGCAAUUGACGUUAGCGACAGAAGAAGCACCGGCUAACUCCGUGCUAGCAGCCGCGGUAAUACGGAGGGUGCGAGCGUUAAUCGGAAUUACUGGGCGUAAAGGGCACGCAGGCGGUUAAUUAAGUUGGAUGUGAAAUCCCCGGGCUUAACCUGGGAAUGGCAUUCAAGACUGGUUAGCUAGAGUCUUGUAGAGGGGGUAGAAUUCCAUGUGUAGCGGUGAAAUGCGUAGAGAUGUGGAGGAAUACCGGUGGCGAAGGCGGCCCCUGGGACAAAGACUGACGCUCAUGUGCGAAAGCGUGGGGAGCAAACAGGGAUUAGAUACC